rnacentral:rRNA from 1 species
UACGUAGGGGGCAAGCGUUGUCCGGAAUCAUUGGGCGUAAAGCGCGCGUAGGCGGCCCUGUAAGUCCGUUGUGAAAGUCAAAGGCUCAACCUUUGAAAGCCGAUGGAUACUGCAGGGCUAGAGUCCGGAAGAGGCGAGUGGAAUUCCCGGUGUAGCGGUGAAAUGCGCAGAUAUCGGGAGGAACAUCAGUGGCGAAGGCGGCCAUCUGGGACAACACUGACGCUGAGGCACGAAAGCGUGGGGAGCAAACAGG